GACGAACGCUGGCGGCGCGCUUAACACAUGCAAGUCGAACGGUGAAGCAGGAGCUUGCUCCUGUGGAUCAGUGGCGAACGGGUGAGUAACACGUGAGCAAUCUGCCCUGGACUCUGGGAUAAGCGUUGGAAACGACGUCUAAUACCGGAUACGAGGCGUGGGGGCAUCCCCAACGCCUGGAAAGAACUUCGGUCCAGGAUGAGCUCGCGGCCUAUCAGGUAGUUGGUGAGGUAACGGCUCACCAAGCCUACGACGGGUAGCCGGCCUGAGAGGGUGACCGGCCACACUGGGACUGAGACACGGCCCAGACUCCUACGGGAGGCAGCAGUGGGGAAUAUUGCGCAAUGGGCGCAAGCCUGAUGCAGCAACGCCGCGUGAGGGACGACGGCCUUCGGGUUGUAAACCUCUUUUAGCAGGGAAGAAGCGAAAGUGACGGUACCUGCAGAAAAAGCACCGGCUAACUACGUGCCAGCAGCCGCCGCGGUAA
rnacentral:rRNA from 1 species